CGGAGGGUGCAAGCGUUAUCCGGAUUCGACUAGGUUUAAAGGGUGCGUUAGGCGGGUUGGUAAGUCCGUGGUGAAAUCCCCAAGCUUAACUUGGGAACUGCCGUGGAUACUAUCAAUCUUGAAUGUCGUGGAGGUAAGCGGAAUAUGUCAUGUAGCGGUGAAAUGCUUAGAUAUGACAUAGAACACCAAUUGCGUAGGCAGCUUACUACACGAUAAUUGACGCUGAGGCACGAAAGCGUGGGGAGCAAACAGGAUUAGAUACCCUGGUAGUCCACGCCCUAAACGAUGGAUACUCGACAUCAGCGAUACACUGUUGGUGUCUGAGCGAAAGCAUUAAGUAUCCCACCUGGGAAGUACGAUCGCAAGAUUG
rnacentral:rRNA from 1 species